rnacentral:misc_RNA from 1 species
UUACUGAGUUUACGCUCUACAACCCUUUGUGAACAUACCUAUAACUGUUGCUUCGGCGGGUAGGGUCUCCGUGACCCUCCCGGCCUCCCGCCCCCGGGCGGGUCGGCGCCCGCCGGAGGAUAACCAAACUCUGAUUUAACGACGUUUCUUCUGAGUGGUACAAGCAAAUAAUCAAAACUUUUAACAACGGAUCUCUUGGUUCUGGCAUCGAUGAAGAACGCAGCGAAAUGCGAUAAGUAAUGUGAAUUGCAGAAUUCAGUGAAUCAUCGAAUCUUUGAACGCACAUUGCGCCCGCCAGCAUUCUGGCGGGCAUGCCUGUUCGAGCGUCAUUUCAACCCUCAAGCUCUGCUUGGUGUUGGGGCCCUACAGCUGAUGUAGGCCCUCAAAGGUAGUGGCGGACCCUCCCGGAGCCUCCUUUGCGUAGUAACUUUACGUCUCGCACUGGGAUCCGGAGGGACUCUUGCCGUAAAACCCCCAAUUUUCCAAAGGUUGACCUCGGAUCAGGUAGGAAUACCCGCUGAACUUAAGCAUAUCAAUAAGCGGAGGAAAAGAAACCAACAGGGAUUGCCUCAGUAACGGCGAGUGAAGCGGCAACAGCUCAAAUUUGAAAUCUGGCCCUAGGCCCGAGUUGUAAUUUGCAGAGGAUGCUUUUGGUGCGGUGCCUUCCAAGUUCCCUAGAACGGGACGCCAGAGAGGGUGAGAGCCCCGUACAGUUGGACACCAAGCCUUUGUAAAGCUCCUUCGACGAGUCGAGUAGUUUGGGAAUGCUGCUCAAAAUGGGAGGUAUAUUUCUUCUAAAGCUAAAUACCGGCCAGAGACCGAUAGCGCACAAGUAGAGUGAUCGAAAGAUGAAAAGCACUUUGAAAAGAGGGUUAAACAGCACGUGAAAUUGUUAAAAGGGAAGCGCUUGUGACCAGACUUGCGUCCGGUGAAUCACCCAGCUCUCGCGGCUGGGGCACUUCGCCGGCUCAGGCCAGCAUCAGCUCGCUGUCGGGGACAAAAGCUUCAGGAACGUAGCUCUCUUCGGGGAGUGUUAUAGCCUGUUGCAUAAUACCCUUCGGCGGGCUG